rnacentral:rRNA from 1 species
UACGUAGGAUGCUAGCGUUGUCCGGAUUUACUGGGCGUAAAGCGCGCGCAGGCGGCACUGUAAGUAAGGUGUGAAAUCUCCUGGCUCAACUGGGAGGGUGCGCCGGAAACUGGAGUGCUUGAGCGUGGGAGAGGAAAGCGGAAUUCCUGGUGUAGCGGUGAAAUGCGUAGAUAUCAGGAGGAACACCUGUGGUGUAGACGGCUUUCUGGACCAUAGCUGACGCUGAGACACGAAAGCGUGGGUAGCAAACAGG